rnacentral:lncRNA from 1 species
GUGAAAUGUGUUGAUUCAAUAUACAGACCUAUUCAGUGAACCAUGAGAUUUUAAAUUGUAUAUCAUCAAAAUCUUGGAAGGUUACAGAAGAAAAAAUUUGGGUUUUCCUUGGCAUAUUCAUUUCCUAAACAACCUUGACAUGAAUAGUCGGAAAUAUGAAUCACUAUAGCUUUUAACCUAUAGAACUAUUUUUUAAAAAUUUACCCGUACUCUAUAUUAUAUUUCGGUCCGAUGCACAUUCAAAGAUUCUAAAAAUAAGUUAACAUAAUUGAUCAUAAUUGGGAUUUCGUAUAAUAAGUUUUGUUCAUUUACAUUAUUUGCAGUCACCCAAGGUAA